rnacentral:lncRNA from 1 species
GGCAGGAGAAUGGCGUGAAUACGGGAGGCGGAGGUUGCAGUGAGCUGAGAUCGCACCACUGCACUCCAGCCUAAGCGACAGAGCGAGACUCCGUCUCAAAAAAAAAAAAAAUACUUUCUACAAUUUCAUACCUGGCUAUCUAUCAUAUCUGCAGCACAAAACCUGAGGUUUCUGUGUACCUUAAAAUAAGUCAGAUUCCUACUCUUUCCAUUUUUCAGGUCCAAAACUCAAGGUGUUAAGAGUUUGGUACGCUGUAUUUACCAAUAUAGGCUGGAGAAUUGUGGCUGAAUGGCCAUAAAUCAUUAGGAUCUAAAAAACCCAAGUGGGGAGUUUGCUUCCCAGAAAGAACCCUUCAGAGCUUCUUUUGGCUUGGAAUGUAUCAACAGCAGAUAUCUGCAGAACAGACAAGGACAGGCACGGUGCUCAGGACUCUGCCCUCACUUCUCCCUUCUUCUUUUCUCAUAGGAAGGACCAUGUGAGGUGGCCAGCAGGGACAGAAGCUGAUUCUGGUUCAUCCCGGUACCAAUCAAAGGGAACAAUGACACCAAACAAACAAAAGUAAACCCUAAAACUUCAAACACUAAACCCUCUGCAAGCUCCACCCAGGAAAAGAGGUCAGAAGAAUUUCAGGUAGAGUAGCUUUAGGGACAGCAAAAAGAAAAACCUGGUGGCCUACCUGGCCUUGACAGGAACAUGGUAAGAAAGGAAAGGAAGUAUCUGGGGCUGUUCCCACAGCAGCCAGUCUCAGAUACCCAGGCUGCUCCUGGAAACUGUUCCUGGACAAAGAGAGAAUCAAGGCCAUCUCUGACAGGUGCUGGGAGGAUCAGCAAAAGUGUUCCAAGAUGCCACACACUGCGUGGGCACUGAGAACACAAACACACUCCACAAGCUCGGAGCUUUGGACCAGUAACAGAAGAUUGACAGCUCAAUUACAAUACAGUGUGGAUAUGUUUCCAUUCAAGCAAAUGCCAGGCUGAAAGGAGGGUGGGGGAAGGAAAGAACAUAUUCCAGGAUACGCUGGUAAAUUGUCUUCUCUUCCCCAAGAAAAGAGUGGCUUCCAACCCUUGGAAUUUUUCUACAGUAAUGUUUUCAAGUAGGGAAGGGCCAACCAGACAACUGAUUUUUGUUUUAAGUUCAACUAGUGAUUUUGUUAAGCUCCUAUGGUUGAGAAUAGUGUUCUACACCCAGUGGAUGGCUGUUGGGUUUCGCAACGCCAAAUUCCCUCUUCCAAGUGUCAUAAGGUAUGUAUUUAUCCUUAUGGUUAAAGUAAAUGAAUAGACAUAUUUUUAAGAAUUUAGAGAUAACUGAAGGAAACCUCUAGAGAUAACGAAGAAAACCCUGCGUGCCACAAAUCCCAGAGCCUGGAAAACCACCUACCUGAAGAAACCACUUAUGAGCCACUCUACUUCUUUGUGGGUCCUUAGGUACUUUUCGUUAGCAAUCCGAGUCUGAAUCUGGGGGGCAAGAACAAAGGGUCACUUCCAUUAGGAGACAGAUUCAGGGUUCAGCCCUGGAGAUGUGAAGGGCUGCGGGAAACGGCGUGCGCAUUUAACCCAAGUCUUUCCCCAGGAUGCUUGAAAGUUUAAGCCACCCAUCUUCUUACAGAUAAAAUAUCAUUCUGCCGCUUGUUCAGGAUGAGGGGCCUUUACUAAGGUCGGAUGUGUCUGGCAGUAAUUUCGGCCCAUUUCUCUGGCCGAGUCCCUGAGUUAGUUCUUCCUGCACUCUCAGAUGCCCGUCGCGCUCUGUGCUGGGAUCAGACGCCUAGAGGUCCGCCGGGGGUCUCCCCUGCGCCCUCCCCACUUUAUCAGGGAACAGGCUCCCGCUCCCCUUCUCUCGGCGGCUCUCUUCCCAGUCUGGGGCCCCAGUCCUGGGGCAGCUACACUUUGGUGGACGCUGGAUGGGGGCGCGGGCGCACCCACCUUGAAUUUUCG